rnacentral:rRNA from 1 species
GACGAACGCUGGCGGCGUGCUUAACACAUGCAAGUCGAACGAUGAACCCGGAGCUUGCUCUGGGGGAUUAGUGGCGAACGGGUGAGUAACACGUGAGUAACCUGCCCUGGACUCUGGGAUAAGCGUUGGAAACGACGUCUAAUACCGGAUAGGACCUUGGAUCGCAUGAUCUGGGGUGGAAAGUUUUUUCGGUCUGGGAUGGACUCGCGGCCUAUCAGCUUGUUGGUGAGGUAAUGGCUCACCAAGGUGUCGACGGGUAGCCGGCCUGAGAGGGUGACCGGCCACACUGGGACUGAGACACGGCCCAGACUCCUACGGGAGGCAGCAGUGGGGAAUAUUGCACAAUGGGCGAAAGCCUGAUGCAGCAACGCCGCGUGCGGGAUGACGGCCUUCGGGUUGUAAACCGCUUUUAGUAGGGAAGAAGGGCUUCGGCUUGACGGUACCUGCAGAAAAAGGACCGGCUAACUACGUG